GCUACAGUGACUCAGUGGUUAAUAUGCUGGACUCUUAAUCAAAAGUGUGCUGGUUCAAAUCCUGCCACUGGAUCAGCC